GGAUGUAAAGGUAAUCUGGCUGCGACAUCUGUCACCCCAUUGAUCGCCAGGGUUGAUUUCGCUGAUCUGGCUUGCUAGGUGGUUGUUCCCCUCCUCCCUAACGUUCCAUGUGCAUCCCUCCUGAAGCUUCACACUUGGUGGAAGAGAAUGACCAACCCCGAUAGAGGAAGACCAUUCCUCAGUCAAGGGUAUAGGAGCAGCCACACUUCCCUGCUAGAACCUCCAAACAAGCUCUCAUAAUCACCAGGGAAAGGUACUCCCUCACACCAGGGCAGCUUUGGAGACAUUGUAUUAGUGACAUAUGCUCCUUC
rnacentral:snRNA from 1 species